rnacentral:rRNA from 1 species
CAGUCGCCACGGGAAUACGAAGGGGGCUAGCGUUGCUCGGAAUGACUGGGCGUAAAGGGCGCGUAGGCGGCGAUCAAAGUCAGGCGUGAAAUUCCUGGGCUCAACCUGGGGGCUGCGUUUGAUACUUGAUUGCUAGAGUGGGGAAGAGGGUCGUGGAAUUCCCAGUGUAGAGGUGAAAUUCGUAGAUAUUCGCAAGAACACCAGUGGCGAAGGCGGCUCACUGGCCCGAUACUGACGCUGAGGCACGAAAGCGUGGGGAGCAAACAGGAUUAGAUACCCGAGUAGUCCCUGUCUCUUAUAC